GACGAACGCUGGCGGCGUGCUUAACACAUGCAAGUCGAGCGGUAAGGCCCUUUCGGGGGUACACGAGCGGCGAACGGGUGAGUAACACGUGGGUGACCUGCCCUCAGCUCUGGGAUAAGCCUGGGAAACCGGUCGUAUAACUGGAUAUGACUCCAUGGACGCAUGUUGUGGGGUGGAAAGCCUUGUGCGGCUGAGGAUGGGCCCGCGGCCUAUCAGCUUGUUGGUGGGGUGANGGCCUACCAAGGCGACGACGGGUAGCCGGCCUGAGAGGGCGACCGGCCACACUGGGACUGAGACACGGGCCCAGACUCCUACGGGAGGCAGCAGUGGGGAAUCUUGCGCAAUGGGCGAAAGCCUGACGCAGCGACGCCGCGUGAGGGAUGACGGCCU
rnacentral:rRNA from 1 species